rnacentral:tRNA from 1 species
CAGUCGCAUACCCAUUUUUUACACCGGGUAGACGGGCAUCGCCGCCCGAUUUUAUAUAGCCGCAGCUACCAUAAUA